rnacentral:rRNA from 1 species
AAUGAACGCUGGCGGCGUGCUUAAUACAUGCAAGUCGAACGGAAUACUAGGAGCUUGCUCCGAAAUAUUUAGUGGCGAACGGGUGAGUAUCACGUGAGCAACCUGCCCCGAAGAUUGGGAUAACACCGGGAAACCGGUGCUAAUACCGAAUACCUUCCAAUGACCGCAUGGUCGAUGGAAGAAAUGUUUUUUCGCUUCGGGAGGGGCUCGCGGUCCAUCAGCUUGUUGGCGGGGUAACGGCCCACCAAGGCUACAACGGAUAGCUGGUCUGAGAGGACGAUCAGCCACACUGGAACUGAGACACGGUCCAGACUCCUACGGGAGGCAGCAGUAGGGAAUCUUGCGCAAUGGACGAAAGUCUGACGCAGCAACGCCGCGUGAGGGACGAAGGCUUUCUGAGUUGUAAACCUCUUUCGACAGGAACGAUUGUGACGGUACCUGUAGAAGAAGCACCGGCCAACUAUGUGCCAGCAGCCGCGGUGAUACAUAGGGUGCGAGCGUUAUUCGGAUUUAUUGGGCGUAAAGAGCUCGUAGGCGGUUCAACAAGUCGGGUGUUAAACCCCCAGGCUCAACCUGGGGCCGCCACCCGAAACUGUUGUGACUAGAGUUUGGUAGGGGAUCACGGAAUUCCUGGUGUAGCGGUGGAAUGCGCAGAUAUCAGGAGGAACACCAGUAGCGAAGGCGGUGAUCUGGGCCAAUACUGACGCUGAGGAGCGAAAGCGUGGGGAGCAAACAGGAUUAGAUACCCUGGUAGUCCACGCCGUAAACGGUGGGCACUAGGUGUGGGGACUUUUCAACGGUCUCCGCGCCGCAGCUAACGCAUUAAGUGCCCCGCCUGGGGAGUACGGUCGCAAGACUAAAACUCAGAGAAAUUGACGGGGGCCCGCACAAGCAGCGGAGCAUGUGGCUUAACUCGAUGCAACGCG